rnacentral:sRNA from 1 species
AUGAUGCAGCAGAAGAAGAAGAAGUCUGGGA